rfam:Picea glauca, whole genome shotgun sequence.
AUGUACAUGCCUACAACAUAACGUUAAUGCACUAGAUCCCAUUAGAACUCUGCAGUUAAGCGUUCUUAGGCUAGAGUAGCACUAGAAUGGGUGACCGCCCUGGAAGUCCUAGUGUUUUACAUG